rnacentral:rRNA from 1 species
UGGGGAAUAUUGCACAAUGGGGGCAACCCUGAUCCAGCCAUGCCGCGUGAGUGAAGAAGGCCUUAGGGUUGUAAAGCACUUUCAGUCGUGAGGAAGGUAGUGUAGUUAAUAGCUGCAUUAUUUGACGUUAGCGACAGAAGAAGCACCGGCUAACUCCGUGCCAGCAGCCGCGGUAAUACGGAGGGUGCGAGCGUUAAUCGGAAUUACUGGGCGUAAAGCGCAUGCAGGUGGUUUGUUAAGUCAGAUGUGAAAGCCCGGGGCUCAACCUCGGAAUAGCAUUUGAAACUGGCAGACUAGAGUACUGUAGAGGGGGGUAGAAUUUCAGGUGUAGCGGUGAAAUGCGUAGAGAUCUGAAGGAAUACCGGGGGCGAAGGCGGCCCCCUGGACAGAUACUGACACUCAGAUGCGAAAGCGUGGGGAGCAAACAGGAUUAGAUACC